rnacentral:rRNA from 1 species
GAUGAACGCCGGCGGCGUGCCUAAUACAUGCAAGUCGAACGAGUUCUGAUUAUUGAAAGGUGCUUGCAUCUUGAUUUAAUUUUGAACGAGUGGCGGACGGGUGAGUAACACGUGGGUAACCUGCCCUUAAGUGGGGGAUAACAUUUGGAAACAGAUGCUAAUACCGCAUAAAUCCAAGAACCGCAUGGUUCUUGGCUGAAAGAUGGCGUAAGCUAUCGCUUUUGGAUGGACCCGCGGCGUAUUAGCUAGUUGGUGAGGUAACGGCUCACCAAGGCAAUGAUACGUAGCCGAACUGAGAGGUUGAUCGGCCACAUUGGGACUGAGACACGGCCCAAACUCCUACGGGAGGCAGCAGUAGGGAAUCUUCCACAAUGGACGCAAGUCUGAUGGAGCAACGCCGCGUGAGUGAAGAAGGCUUUCGGGUCGUAAAACUCUGUUGUUGGAGAAGAAUGGUCGGCAGAGUAACUGUUGUCGGCGUGACGGUAUCCAACCAGAAAGCCACGGCUAACUACGUGCCAGCAGCCGCGGUAAUACGUAGGUGGCAAGCGUUAUCCGGAUUUAUUGGGCGUAAAGCGAGCGCAGGCGGUUUUUUAAGUCUGAUGUGAAAGCCCUCGGCUUAACCGAGGAAGUGCAUCGGAAACUGGGAAACUUGAGUGCAGAAGAGGACAGUGGAACUCCAUGUGUAGCGGUGAAAUGCGUAGAUAUAUGGAAGAACACCAGUGGCGAAGGCGGCUGUCUGGUC